rnacentral:lncRNA from 1 species
UCACUCCUCCAUCUUCUCUCUCCUUUCAUUCACUAUUUCAAGCCUUCAAACUCAUUUCUUCAAUCCCAAUAUUCCAUCUAAGAACCCUAAUCCCCAAAUUUUUCAAUCACAAUAUUUCACAACUCAUGUUCUCUCAAAUUGAGGUUUCUCAGCACAAGCACCACUUGUUUCAUAAGUUAUACAUUAUGUAGUUUAUGAUAUAAAUUGAACUGCCAUUACUUUCUCUUAGCUUGAGUUUGGUUGGGUAGAGUUAGAGAAGAGAGAAAAGAGAGAGAGAGAAGUAGAAGAGAAAUG